UACGGAGGAUCCGAGCGUUAUCCGGAUUUAUUGGGUUUAAAGGGAGCGUAGAUGGAUGUUUAAGUCAGUUGUGAAAGUUUGCGGCUCAACCGUAAAAUUGCAGUUGAUACUGGAUGUCUUGAGUGCAGUUGAGGCAGGCGGAAUUCGUGGUGUAGCGGUGAAAUGCUUAGAUAUCACGAAGAACUCCGAUUGCGAAGGCAGCCUGCUAAGCUGCAACUGACAUUGAGGCUCGAAAGUGUGGGUAUCAA
rnacentral:rRNA from 1 species